AUUGAACGCUGGCGGCAGGCCUAACACAUGCAAGUCGAGCGGAUGAAGGGAGCUUGCUCCUGGAUUCAGCGGCGGACGGGUGAGUAAUGCCUAGGAAUCUGCCUGGUAGUGGGGGAUAACGUCCGGAAACGGGCGCUAAUACCGCAUACGUCCUGAGGGAGAAAGUGGGUGAUCUUCGGACCUCACGCUAUCAGAUGAGCCUAGGUCGGAUUAGCUAGUUGGUGGGGUAAAGGCCUACCAAGGCGACGAUCCGUAACUGGUCUGCGAGGAUGAUCAGUCACACUGGAAGUGAGACACGGUCCAGGCUCCUACGAGAGGCAGCAGUGGGGAAUAUUGGACAAUGGGCGAAAGCCUGAUCCAGCCAUGCCGCGUGUGUGAAGAAGGUCUUCGGAUUGUAAAGCACUUUAAGUUGGGAGGAAGGGCAGUAAGUUAAUACCUUGCUGUUUUGACGUUACCAACAGAAUAAGCACCGGCUAACUUCGUG
rnacentral:rRNA from 1 species